AUUGAACGCUGGCGGCAGGCCUAACACAUGCAAGUCGAACGGUAACAGGAAACAGCUUGCUGUUUCGCUGACGAGUGGCGGACGGGUGAGUAAUGUCUGGGAAACUGCCUGAUGGAGGGGGAUAACUACUGGAAACGGUAGCUAAUACCGCAUAACGUCGCAAGACCAAAGAGGGGGACCCUCGGGCCUCUUGCCAUCGGAUGUGCCCAGAUGGGAUUAGCUUGUUGGUGGGGUAACGGCUCACCAAGGCGACGAUCCCUAGCUGGUCUGAGAGGAUGACCAGCCACACUGGAACUGAGACACGGUCCAGACUCCUACGGGAGGCAGCAGUUGGGAAUAUUGCACAAUGGGCGCAAGCCUGAUGCAGCCAUGCCGCGUGUAUGAAGAAGGCCUUCGGGUUGUAAAGUACUUUCAGCGGGGAGGAAGGGAGUAAAGUUAAUACCUUUGCUCAUUGACGUUACCCGCAGAAGAAGCACCGGCUAACUCCGUG
rnacentral:rRNA from 1 species